AUUGAACGCUGGCGGCAGGCCUAACACAUGCAAGUCGAGCGGAUGACGGGAGCUUGCUCCUGGAUUCAGCGGCGGACGGGUGAGUAAUGCCUAGGAAUCUGCCUGGUAGUGGGGGACAACGUUUCGAAAGGAACGCUAAUACCGCAUACGUCCUACGGGAGAAAGCAGGGGACCUUCGGGCCUUGCGCUAUCAGAUGAGCCUAGGUCGGAUUAGCUAGUUGGUGAGGUAAUGGCUCACCAAGGCGACGAUCCGUAACUGGUCUGAGAGGAUGAUCAGUCACACUGGAACUGAGACACGGUCCAGACUCCUACGGGAGGCAGCAGUGGGGAAUAUUGGACAAUGGGCGAAAGCCUGAUCCAGCCAUGCCGCGUGUGUGAAGAAGGUCUUCGGAUUGUAAAGCACUCUAAGUUGGGAGGAAGGGUUGUAGAUUAAUACUCUGCAAUUUUGACGUUACCGACAGAAUAAGCACCGGCUAACUCUGUGCCAGCCGCCGCCGCAG
rnacentral:rRNA from 1 species